CCUACGGGGGGCAGCAGUAGGGAAUCUUUCACAAUGGGCGAAAGCCUGAUGGAGCAACGCCGCGUGCAGGAUGAAGGCCUUCGGGUUGUAAACUGCUUUUAUAAGCGAGAAAUAUGAUGUUAACUUAUGAAUAAGGAUCGGCUAACUACGUGCCAGCAGCCGCGGUCAUACGUAGGAUCCGAGCAUUAUCCGGAGUGACUGGGUGUAAAGAGUUGCGUAGGUGGCAUAAUAAGUAGCUAGUGAAAUCUGGUGGCUCAACCAUUCAGACUAUUAGCUAAACUGUUAAGCUCGAGACCGUUAGGGGUAACUGGAAUUUCUAGUGUAGGAGUGAAAUCCGUAGAUAUUAGAAGGAACACCAAUAGCGUAGGCAGGUUGCUGGGACGGUUCUGACACUAAGGCACGAAAGCGUAGGGAGCAAACGGGAUUAGAUACCCCAGUAGUC
rnacentral:rRNA from 1 species